AUGAAUGCUGGCGGUGUGCUUAAUACAUGCAAGUCGAACGAAGAACAUUUUGUAGCAAUACGAGGUGUUCUGAGUGGCGAAUGGGUGCGUAACACGUAGGUGACCUGCCCCAAAGUGUGGAAUAACAGUUCGAAAGGAUUGCUAAUACCGCAUGUGGUCCCGGGGGUUAGAGUUCCGGGUCUAAAGCUUUGCCCGCAAGGGCACGGCGCUUUGGGAGGGGCCUGCGGCCCAUCAGGUAGUUGGUAGGGUAAUGGCCUACCAAGCCUAAGACGGGUAGGGGAUCUGAGAGGAUGGUCCCCCACACUGGCACUGACACACGGGCCAGACUCCUACGGGAGGCAGCAGUAGGGAAUAUUGCACAAUGGGCGAAAGCCUGAUGCAGCAACGCCGCGUGCGCGAUGAAGGCCUUCGGGUCGUAAAGCGCUUUUCGAGGGGAUGAGGAAGGACAGUACCCUCGGAAUAAGUCACGGCUAACUACGU
rnacentral:rRNA from 1 species